UGAGAUCAGCGGCGGACGGGUGAGUAACACGUGGGUAACCUGCCUGUAAGACUGGGAUAACUCCGGGAAACCGGGGCUAAUACCGGAUAACACCUACCCCCGCAUGGGGGAAGGUUGAAAGGUGGCUUCGGCUAUCACUUACAGAUGGACCCGCGGCGCAUUAGCUAGUUGGUGAGGUAAUGGCUCACCAAGGCCACGAUGCGUAGCCGACCUGAGAGGGUGAUCGGCCACACUGGGACUGAGACACGGCCCAGACUCCUACGGGAGGCAGCAGUAGGGAAUCUUCCGCAAUGGACGAAAGUCUGACGGAGCAACGCCGCGUGAGUGAAGAAGGUUUUCGGAUCGUAAAACUCUGUUGUUAGGGAAGAACAAGUGCCGUUCGAAUAGGGCGGCGCCUUGACGGUACCUAACCAGAAAGCCACGGCUAACUACGUGCCAGCAGCCGCGGUAAUACGUAGGUGGCAAGCGUUGUCCGGAAUUAUUGGGCGUAAAGCGCGCGCAGGUGGUUUCUUAAGUCUGAUGUGAAAGCCCACGGCUCAACCGUGGAGGGUCAUUGGAAACUGGGGAACUUGAGUGCAGAAGAGGAAAGUGGAAUUCCAAGUGUAGCGGUGAAAUGCGUAGAGAGGAACACCAGUGGCGAAGGCGACUUUCUGGUCUGUAA
rnacentral:rRNA from 2 species